GAAGAAGAAGAAGAAGAAGAAGAAGAAGAAGAAGAAGAGAAGAUGAGGUGGAUGAGAAGGAGGAGAAGGAGGAUGCAAGGCUUUAGAGGGAUUCCGGUAGCCGGUGGCGUGCCAACAACGCUGGCGUUAAAAUAUGGUAAUCGAGCCGCGGGAUCGGCAUAUCGACGACUUGACAAACGAUGCGACGCCCGAAGCAACGGACCACCAACAGAUCGUACGCCACGUAUCGGAAUAAAUUUCUAUGGGCUUGCAAUGCCGUCGUCACAUACACAGGAUAUCGAUGGUGGCACCUGCGCUUACAUGGGCUGCUUAAGAAAUAGAGAGACGGCACAAAGCGACUUCACUGGAGUUCGGCAAGGUGGGAAGCAAGGAGGUUACAACGCUGUUUGCUUUAACAACGUAUAUUCCUCACUCUGUAUAUCUCCUUCUUCGGAUCGGUGCGAGACAUUGAAAUUGCGAAUACACGCCUACGCCGUUUAGGAUGGUGACGCGAACGGCGAGCAUCUUGAUAGACGAACAAGCCCACAAAUGCACGAGCUGAAAACCCAAGCCGGUUUCGCUUGCCAGAGAAUAGAGAGAAUGGACCAUCUCCGUCUUCGUUCAAAUACCAAAUUCCAUCUGGAAGAUUUGACAGCUCUCGAAGAUAAUAGAUCGGAUAAUAAAACGACAUCGGAAAGAAAGAAAGAAAGAAAGGAAAGAAGGAACGAUGAGCUGCCGGAACGAUAAAAAUCCUACCCCGUGCACCAACUGUAAAAUUUUAUGGUCGCGAGAAAUAAAGAUGCUAUCGCAAGCGCUGAAACAGAGGGACCCCCCGUUAUCGGUGCUCCGCGAAGGAGGAGACUCCGAAGGGAUGAGGUGGGCCAAAGGGAGAACUUUAAUAUUUGCCAGGUUACGGAUUUCUGACAAACAAACGAGAAAGAGAAAGACGGAGAGAGAAAGAGAGAGAGAGAGAGAACAGAGGACCACUCAAUGCUUCGAGGUAAACCGUUCGGUGACGAUAAGCGAAAAGGAAAAGGGAGAAGUAAUGGAAAAGGGAGGAGGAGGAAGAGGACGAGAGCCAACGAUACUGGGACUCGACAAAUAAAAUCUGAACAACCUGCUGCUCCGUUGUUUACCAAAGGAUACCUGCCUGACAUUAACGGCACGGGACGAAGGGGGUGAAACACGGAGAAGACCAAAUAUGCUGCGAUAACGAAACGAGUCUCUCUCUCUCUCUCUCUCUCUCUCU